ensembl:snoRNA SNORD79 Small nucleolar RNA SNORD79
UACUGUUAAUGAUGAAAUUGUGAAAAAGACAAUGGGAAUCUCUCUGAAAAGCAGUGAAGAUACAAUUUUACUGAGACAGUA